UUUUCUGUGUUCCCCGGUAAACAAAUACCAGCGUUGGAAGAGGAAAAGAAACUCUGAAAGCUCUUUCCCCACGAAAUGAGGGUAUUGUGCAAAUCAAAUUGGGACGCAUAUGGUCGUAUUUUUUAACGAUUCAUUUACGCUGGAUUUAUGUGUAGGAUUUUUGUGUUUUAAUGGAGUUUCUGCAAGGCAUAACUAUCGCAAACACCAUCAUUCAAUGGUGACCUCGUUUUACUUAUAAUCUAUAUACUUUGGGGAUCUAGAGACUGUUUAUUUAUAUUACAAUCACGUGGAGUGCUGUAUGGGUAAUUCAUGAUGGACAAACGCCACUGCGGAUCUGAUCUCUUUAAAUCAAUGGAGAGUAUUAAGUUUGCCCGGCACUGUCGUUUGUAAUUGAAAGUUGAGAGUUUUUGUACUAAAACGCGAUCUGAAAACCGAGCGAUAGCAGGCCUCGCCACUUGUUAUGCGGGUGAAACCAGCGGUCAGGGAUAUUUUUACCGUGUGUGUGUUAUUGUGCUUUUCCGCGGAACCGUGUGCGAUUUUAUAUUAACAAUUUGUUUUAUAUUUAGCGAUCUGUUGGCCUUAAAAGCGUAAGUAUUUUGAUAUUUGGUUUACAAAAAAAAUUAAACUAUUACUUACAUGAUCUGAAUUUUUGUGAAAAAUAUGUUAAUUAUGUUAUUGUAUUUUAGCUCAAAACGCAUUCUAUCAACAAAUCUUUUACCUAAUAUUACUUAUUAAAAGAUAAACAAUUUUUCAUUUGUAUUACAAUCAUUUGAAACAAAUUUAAGUAUUUUUGUUUUAUUCAAAUAAAUCAAGUUGAUCGGGUGCUUUAUGAGUCACAUAAAUUUCAUGAAAAUAUUUAUGAAAUUAAAUUGUACAAUUAAACAUGCUUUCAAUAAAUAAAACAAAGUCAUAUAUU
rnacentral:sRNA from 1 species